GUUUGGGUAGCUCAGUUGGUUAGAGCGGAAGACUGAAAAUCUUUAGGCCAGUGGUUCAAAUCCAUUCCCAGACA
rnacentral:tRNA from 1 species